rnacentral:lncRNA from 1 species
UGUGUUUUUUUCAGAGAAUGUUAGUCUAUUGAGGAUGAAUGAUAUUGAGAAGAAGGUAUGUGAGAGGGGAAUUUAUAGGAAUGUUAUGUUAGUUUAGUAACGUAAAGGUUUAGUUUGAUGCAAAAUAGAUUAUGAUUGUAUAUGGAAGUUUAUAUUUUAUUUUAUUAAUAUAUAAUUUCGUCGACUUGUACCCAGAUUCUGUAAUAUAUAUGGAUAUUAUUGAUUUAGUUCAAGAAAAUACUAAUUAUUCACAAGAUAAAUUUCCAUGUACAACAGCAUUACCGGUUACAGUAACUGUGCACUAAACUAGAAUAGUCCAAUUUGACAAAGAUUUAUGAAUGAUUUGGGGUUUAUUGAAUAGUUAGUAUACUUAAUUGGUGAAUAUUUGGUUGAAACUGAUUAGGUUCUAUAGAUUUGGUAGUCUUUCUCUUUUUAGAUUGAUUAAAGAUUGAGUAAAUGAAAAAUAU